rnacentral:tRNA from 1 species
GCCCCUAUAGCUCAGCUGGUAGAGCAUCUGAUUUGUAAUCAGAGGGUCGGGGGUUCGAGUCCCUCUGGGGGCACCA